UCGUCAUCGUAGGGUUAGUCGGGUCCUAAGUCGAGUCCGAAAGGGGUAGACGAUGGCAAAUUGAUUAAUAUUUCAAUACCAACAUACAAGCGCGAUGUGGGGACGCAUAGAGUUAAUCGAGCUCACUGAUGGAAUAGUGGGUCGAAGGACGUAGGCUGACACUUAGGCAAAUCCGGGUGUCAUGAGGCCGAGAUCUUACAGGCCGAACAAAAUCUUAGGAUAGCGUUUGGAAUCGAUGAUACUGUCGCGCCAAGAAAAGCCACUAAGUAUAUUGUAUGUUGCCCGUACCGUAAACCGACACAGGUGGGUGGGAUGAGUAUUCUAAGGCGCGUGGAAGAACCCUGGUUAAGGAACUCUGCAAACUAGCACCGUAUCUUCGGUAUAAGGUGUGCCUACUUCUGUAUAUGGACUUGCUCCAAAAAGCGGAAGAGGUUGCAACAAAGAGUCCCUCCCGACUGUUUAC
rnacentral:rRNA from 1 species